rnacentral:misc_RNA from 1 species
UACGGAGGGUGCAAGCGUUAAUCGGAAUUACUGGGCGUAAAGCGCGCGUAGGCGGUUCGUUAAGUCAGAUGUGAAAGCCCCGGGCUCAACCUGGGAACUGCAUUUGAUACUGGCGAACUCGAGUAUACUAGAGGGGGGUGGAAUUUCAGGUGUAGCGGUGAAAUGCGUAGAGAUCUGAAGGAACACCAGUGGCGAAGGCGGCCCCCUGGAGUAAUACUGACGCUGAGGUGCGAAAGCGUGGGGAGCAAACAGG